AAUAAAUUGAACACCUCACGUUGCAAUAUUGCCUGGUGUACCUAACGCCACUUUAUUGUUUUAGGUAUAAAAGUAUCACAAAACCAAAGGAAAAGGUAUAGAAGAUAUCAACGGAAACUGGAAGAAUUAAGAUGACGAAAAUAACUAUUGCUAUUUUCAUGGUUAUACUCAUGUUCCAUGUAGCUGCUAUUGGUGGUUUAAUAUGGGAUAAUGUAGAACGGCGGCGGGGUGGUGGUCGAGGAGGUAGUCGUGGUGCAUCAGGUACAAGUUGGAAGAAACGGGAUAUGAUAAAGAACGUUGAUGACUUGACAGAGUUCGAACGAUUUGUAUCUGACCGCAUGGCUGUUGAUCCUUAGUGUUGAAAGAUACUAACACCUAUCAUCCCAAGAGUACCAGUCCAUGUGUAAAAUAACAGAGAAUUAAAAACAUAAUAAUGCA